GGAUGGACAACGUUGGGAUGGGAUGGAUGGACAACAAUGGGAUGGGGUUGGGUGAGAUGAGAUGAGAUGGAUGGACAUCAUUGGGAUGGGGUGGGAUGGGAUGGGAUGGGAUGGAUGGACAACUAUGGGGUGUCAUGGAUGGACAACGAUGGGGUGGGAUGGGAUGGGAUGGGAUGGGAUGGGAUGGGAUGGGAUGAGAUGAGAUGGAUGGACAACUAUGGGGUGUCAUGGAUGGACAACGCUGGGUUGAGAUGGAUGGACAACAAUGGGAUGGGAUGGGGAUGGGAUGGGAUGAGAUGAGAUGGAUGGACAACUAUGGGAUGGGGUGGGAUGGGAUGGGAUGGGAUGGGAUGGGAUGGAUGGACAACAAUGGGGUGUCAUGGAUGGACAACGUUGGGUUGGGAUGGAUGGACAACAAUGGGAUGGGAUGGGAUGGACAACAUUGGGAUGGGAUGGGGACAUUAUGGGAUGGAUGGGGAUAUGGGAUGGAUGGGGACAUUAUGGGGUGGAUGGGGACGUUAUGGGAUGGAUGGGGACAUUAUGGGGUGGGGACAUUAUGGGAUGGAUGGGGAUAUGGGAUGGAUGGGGACAUUAUGGGAUGGAUGGGGACAUUAUGGGAUGGAUGGGGAUAUUAUGGGAUGGAUGGGGAUAUGGGAUGGAUGGGGAUAUUAUGGGAUGGAUGGGGAUAUGGGAUGGAUGGGGACAUUAUGGGAUGGAUGGGGAUAUGGGAUGGAUGGGGACAUUAUGGGAUGGAUGGGGACAUUAUGGGGUGGAUGGGGACAUUAUGGGAUGGAUGA
rnacentral:lncRNA from 1 species